AGGCUUUAUUAGUUACAUUUAUAGUGAUUUUCUAAACUUCUCUUAAGAGUAAUACUACUGUCUUAGUCCUGUCACGUUAACAAAGAAAUUAGGAUAAUUGCAAAACUGUUCAGUGUUUACAAUAUAAGGCUUCAGUAGUUAAUCUAUACAAAGGCUGUUUUGCCUUAAUUUUUUUAUUUUUUUGAAAAGUCUAAAUGUUAUAUUGCACUAAUAAAAUAUAUAUUUUUGCAGGCUUCAAGAGGAUCAGCGUGUGAAGAUCACUUUAUAAUGAUUUGAAAAAGGUUGCCAUGGCUGCAGAAAUUGGAGGAGCAUCCUUAGAUGACACAAUACAACCAGCUGUGCGAUUCCUCAUGUCCCAUGAACUGGAAGUCCAGUUCAACCUUUUUGGCCAACAUUGGAAACAAGCUCUUGGACCUGCGUCUCUUUGAUGUUUUGUAUGGGGACUUAAAAGAAAUUAUCCAUCUACAGAAUCACACAAGCAUACAGCAAAGACUCUCGAAGUGGUUUACUGGAGCCCGAGUGGAAGUGGAAAUAGACUAGAGAGACUGCCAGUUCAAACUCAGGUUGGGGAGGUCUUUCAAGAUGGACAGUUUCAGUAAAGUAUGAGAGAUUUCAAAUUUAAGCAUGCAUAUGGCAUGUAGGUUAUUUUUAAAAAUGUUUAACAAAAAUGUAUUGUGAAAGAUCUAUAUAGGUGUGUAUAUUCACAUUGUGUGUAUCAAUGUGAAUAUACGUGUAUAAAGUUAUAUAGAUAGUAUUUAGAUGUAUACAUUUAUAG